GUACACACCGCCCGUCGCUCCUACCAAUUGAAUAAAAAGAUAAAAUUAGUGGAGAAUAUUAUUUAUUCAAAACUAAUUGAAUCUCUGUAUUUGUAGGAAGGAGAAGUCGUAACAAGGUUUUCGUAGGUGAACCUGCAGAAGGAUCA
rnacentral:rRNA from 1 species